rnacentral:rRNA from 1 species
UACGGAGGGGGCUAGCGUUGUUCGGAAUUACUGGGCGUAAAGCGUGCGCAGGCGGCUUUGCAAGACAGAUGUGAAAUCCCCGGGCUCAACCUGGGAACUGCAUUUGUGACUGCAAGGCUAGAGUACGGCAGAGGGGGAUGGAAUUCCGCGUGUAGCAGUGAAAUGCGUAGAUAUGCGGAGGAACACCGAUGGCGAAGGCAAUCCCCUGGGCCUGUACUGACGCUCAUGCACGAAAGCGUGGGGAGCAAACAGG